rnacentral:rRNA from 1 species
UACGAAGGGGGCUAGCGUUGUUCGGAAUUACUGGGCGUAAAGCGCACGUAGGCGGAUAUUUAAGUCAGGGGUGAAAUCCCAGAGCUCAACUCUGGAACUGCCUUUGAUACUGGGUAUCUUGAGUAUGGAAGAGGUGAGUGGAAUUCCGAGUGUAGAGGUGAAAUUCGUAGAUAUUCGGAGGAACACCAGUGGCGAAGGCGGCUCACUGGUCCAUAACUGACGCUGAGGUGCGAAAGCGUGGGGAGCAAACAGG